UUACCACUGCCACCGGGUAGUAUAAUGCAGAUCAAGCAUUCGGUAUGGGUCGUUAGGUCUUAGAAGAUCCAUGCUGGAUGCUGUUUUUUA
rnacentral:ncRNA from 1 species